rnacentral:rRNA from 1 species
CCACCUUUGACAUGUACGGAAGUCGCUAGAGAUAGCUUCGUGCUCGAAAGAGAGCCGUAACACAGGUGCUGCAUGGCUGUCGUCAGCUCGUGUCGUGAGAUGUUGGGUUAAGUCCCGCAACGAGCGCAACCCUUGUCAUUAGUUGCUACAUUCAGUUGGGCACUCUAAUGAGACUGCCGGUGACAAACCGGAGGAAGGUGGGGAUGACGUCAAGUCCUCAUGGCCCUUAUAGGUGGGGCUACACACGUCAUACAAUGGCUGGUACAAAGGGUUGCCAACCCGCGAGGGGGAGCUAAUCCCAUAAAACCAGUCGUAGUCCGGAUCGCAGUCUGCAACUCGACUGCGUGAAGUCGGAAUCGCUAGUAAUCGUGGAUCAGAAUGUCACGGUGAAU